rnacentral:rRNA from 1 species
GACGAACCGUGCGAACGUUGUUCGGAAUCACUGGGCUUAAAGGGCGCGUAGGCGGUUCGAUAAGUCAGCUGUGAAAACCAUGGGCUUAACUCAUGGCCUGCAGUUGAGACUGUCGGGCUGGAGUGUGGGAGAGGAGAGUGGAAUUCCUGGUGUAGCGGUGAAAUGCGUAGAUAUCAGGAGGAACACCGGUGGCGAAGGCGGCUCUCUGGACCACAACUGACGCUGAGGCGCGAAAGCUAGGGGAGCAAACAGG